rnacentral:lncRNA from 1 species
GUUAUUGGGAGGUUUCUCCAGGUAUCAAUCUUAUCUAGUUUAGCAGAAGAGGUGCUUUGGAAAUGGGAGAUGUUUCUUUAAUGGAACUUUCUUUUGGGAGGGCCAGGAAAACUGCAUCUCCUGCAUUGAAAUUGUAACAUCUAAACCUCAUGUUGAAAAGCAAUCUGGACUACAAACAGCCAGGCCAGAGCAUGGAAGUGAAUGCUCCACCAACAGCCCUGUGUGCCACUGGGAGUAGGCUGAAGGCAGUGUGCCGCAGUAAAUUCUCCUCCCGAUACUCCGCACCUCUCCUUCCAUCCAAGUGCCUGGCUUGGAGACAUUCUAGAAAUGCUGGGUGAGCGAAGUGAACAUGAUGAUUUUGAUGGAGAGAGGGGAUGCCUGCGUCCUGGGCAAGACCACUGUUUCUUGCCUCUGAACACCUCUUGAUCUGAUCACCCUCCUUGAUGACCUCGAUGAGUCCAAGUUUCCUGCCUGUUCUUCUGAAUCCUGAAAUCCUGAUAGCACUAGCUGUCCUAGUAUGAUUGUAUGUCAUGAGGGAUGUUGAGAGCUUACUUGAGUGGACUUCAACACAAUCUCU